UACGUAGGGGGCUAGCGUUGUCCGGAUUUAUUGGGCGUAAAGAGCGUGUAGGCGGCCAGGUAGGUCUGGUGUGAAAACUCGAGGCUUAACCUCGAGAUGUCAUCGGAAACCAUCUGGCUAGAGUCCGGAAGAGGAGAGUGGAAUUCCUGGUGUAGCGGUGAAAUGCGCAGAUAUCAGGAAGAACACCCGUGGCGAAGGCGGCUCUCUGGGACGGUACUGACGCUGAGGAACGAAAGCCAGGGUAGCGAACGGG
rnacentral:rRNA from 1 species